UCUACCUCCCAUCCUCCCAACAAACUUCCUUCAUAGCCUUUAUUUUAAUUUGUUGAGCCCACAUCCAAGGAACGAAAAAAGGACGGAAAUGCAGUGUUGAUGACUGAUAGAAUGCCUUCACGUAGAAAGAAGCCAUGGUUAUUCUGAUAAGUGCAAUCAAAUACUGUCUAAGGCUUGUCCUAAACUUCAAUGGCUGUUAGGAGCUAGAACCCCGGGGAAGGAGAAAACACAAUCCCAUGUCUGGAAUAUUUAUGGACAUAUAUCAGUUGGCAAGGUAGGGCAGUCUUUGCUAAAUUGAUUAGGGGAAUACAUAUUUUGACAAAAUUGUGACUGGUAAAAACGGCCUCAAUGCAAUAUGUAAUGGUCCCUCUCAUGUGGUUCAUCCCAUGCACACCAAGAAUCCCAUUCUUUCCCAUCAAACAAGGAAAGAGAAGGACUAAGCCAAGAUGAAAUCCUUGCUGAACAGAAGUACGUGGGGUUUUUCUGGGGGUAGGGUUGAUGUGGGCUUCAAAGGUCAUGCACGGACUUUGCAGCAGAGGACUCUGCCCUUUGGAGGAUGAGGGGCUGUGGAAGACAGAGGAAAAACAUCCAGAUGCAUACUUGCAGGACUCUCCCAGUAGAAAUCCUGAAAACAAGGACUCUCUUUGCUCUCUCCCUCCAGAAGGCUAAAGUGGCCUCAGCCACUGUGAUGAAGAGAAAAGAUCCUAAUGUCCGAGCUUAUUGCCAAAUCCAUUUCUAGACCCACAUUACUUUGAAAAGUGUAUCUUAACCUUUUUGAAGUUCAUUUUUCUCAUCGAUGAAAUAGAUUAUUUUUUAAAUUUCACAGUUUGUUGUGAAUAAUCAACAUAAUUUAUGAGCUCUGGGAAGCUGGGCUGGUCUUCCAGACCCUGCCUUGCAGGAAAUUGAUAGAAAAAAGAAGGGCUUCUGGGAAGAUGGCGGAGUGGUAAACAGAGACAGAUUAGCCUCUCUGGGAUUCGGAGUCCAGACGCUGGAAAAUAACAACCUGGGGAAGAAAAGAAGGAGGGAGGCGGAGUCCUGAGACCCUGGAAGGAUCUGAAGGAAAAGUUGCAGUCUGAAGAGAAAUUGAAGAGACAGAACAUAAUGUGGAAAAAGGAAGGGGGCAACUUGCACCUUCACCCCAGCUCCUGUCUAGUGCACCAUGACAAAGCAGGGCAAAAUCUACAAGAGACACAGUGAAAGCAGAGGUCUCCAGAAGCCUUCAGGAAAAAACUAAACAGUGCAACAGACUGGUGGAUGCUGUGAGCUGCAAGAGUUGUUAGCAGAGCCCAACUUUGGAAGACAUAGUUGUAUGAGUUAGAAUGGCCAAGGAAGGAAGAAAAAGUAAUGCUGUGAAGACGGGCUUACUGUUGUUCAGAUGUCCAAAUUUCUUCUAACUGCGCACCUCAUAUAAUGACCAAGAAUAGAUUGUGUGUCAUGAAGCAUUCUCAGCCCUUAGAAGAGAUGAAAUAAUAGGAAGUAUAACAAUGACAUUAUAAUAAGAGCUCUUCAGGUAUUAUUCUUCCUGGUAAGCUGCCCACUGCCACCAUCAGUGAUCUGAGAUAGGGUGGACUGUGGUGCCUGGCAACAGGUGGGCCUCAGGCUUCUGGUGUACACAGUUAACUACAGCUCACACACAAAGUGUCAGCUCUGCAGGAAUGCACAGGCAUCCCCUGGCCUGUCCCCUUGAAAUCUAUGAAAAGACAAAGGUAGAAAAUGUUAUUUCACAAGUGAUCUGACUAAUUUAAGAUUUGCUGAAUGUCUUCCUCUGCCAUGGUCAUCAUCAUAGCCACCACUGCUACGGUGGAUAACACCUGUUUUCUGGGGGUUGAUUGUCCAGAUAGAAUUGUCAUCCUCAAAGAGUGUAUUCCAGAUAUCUGAAUUAGAAUAUCUCUUUUAUUAUUAAAGACUAGAUAGGACAACAUUCCAUAAGAAAAGCAAAUGUGGUCUUUAUUGUUAGCAUAUCUAUUUUCUGAUAACACAGUUUUUGGUUGAGCCUAUUUUUCUCUUUUGUUUUUGAAACUACAAGCCCACCCACAAUAGAAGGGACUAAUCUCUCCUCAGUCUCAUUGGUCUAACUUGAGUCAUGUGUCCUCUUUUGGACAAUCCACCUGCAGCCAGGAGAUGAAGUCACAGAAAGGAUGUGUUUUAUAGAAGCCAACUCUUAUGAAACAGCUUUGUGCAUAGGAGAAAGAUGCUGUUCCCAAGAUAAGGGAAUGAGGAACAUGACCUAACUACUACAUCUGAAUAUCCAAGGGAAGUGUGGUCAAGGCCUGGACGUUUGGUGCUUUCCUUUUACUUCAUGUUUAUCCAGUGGAUACUUUUUUUUUUUCCUCCCGUCCCCUAUGUUUUACCUAUUUAUCUUUCAUUUACUCUAAAUUCCUGGGAAUCACUGAUCUUCUUAAGAUCUUUACAAUCUUGCCUUUCCCUAACUGUGAUAGAAUGAGACACACAUAUGCAUUCAAAUUUCCUAUCUCUAUUUUCAUGGCCUGGUAGUAGCUCAUCUCUUUUUAUCACAGAAACAUAUCCUGUUGUAUGAAUAAAACAAGUUGAUUUUUCUGCUAUGGCUCGAAUGCGUUGCCCAAAGUUCACGUGUUGGACAUUUAAUCACCAGUGCAAGAGCACUGAGAAGUAGGGACUCUAAGAGGUGACUAAGUCAUGAAGCCUCUCAUGAAUAGAUUAAUGCUGUUAUUGCUGGAGUGGGUUCCUUAUUUUAAUCAGUGUGCCUCACGUCACACUCCCUCAUCCUUCCAUCCUCCACCAUGGGAUGGAUAAUGCAGAAGGCAUUGGCCAGAGGUAGGCCCUUGAUCUUGGACUUCCCAGAAAUGUAAGAAAUAAAUGUUUUUGU